rnacentral:rRNA from 1 species
UACGUAGGCAGCAAGCGAUGUUCGGGAUUACUGGGCGUAAAGGGUGCGUAGGCGGUUGGUUAAGUUUGGUGUGAAAUCUCCCGGCUUAACUGGGAGGGUGCGCCGAAAACUGGCUGGCUAGAGUGUGGGAGAGGGAAGUGGAAUUCCUGGUGUAGCGGUGAAAUGCGUAGAUAUCAGGAGGAACACCUGAGGUGUAGACGGCUUCCUGGACCAUUACUGACGCUGAGGCACGAAAGCGUGGGGAGCAAACAGG